UACGGAGGAUUCAAGCGUUAUCCGGAUUUAUUGGGUUUAAAGGGUGCGUAGGCGGUCGGAUAAGUUAGAGGUGAAAUCCCGAGGCUCAACCGUGGAACAGCCCUUGAUACUGCGCGACUUGAAUCCGGGAGAGGGUGGCGGAAUUCCAGGUGUAGGAGUGAAAUCCGUAGAUAUCUGGAGGAACAUCAGUGGCGAAGGCGGCCACCUGGACCGGUAUUGACGCUGAGGCGCGAAAGCGUGGGGAGCAAACAGG
rnacentral:rRNA from 1 species